rnacentral:rRNA from 1 species
CACGUAGGGCGCGAGCGUUGUCCGGAAUUAUUGGGCGUAAAGAGCUCGUAGGCGGCCUGUUGCGUCCGCUGUGAAAGCCCGGGGCUUAACCCCGGGUCGGCAGUGGAUACGGGCAGGCUAGAGGUAGGUAGGGGAGAAUGGAAUUCCCGGUGUAGCGGUGAAAUGCGCAGAUAUCGGGAGGAACACCGGUGGCGAAGGCGGUUUUCUGGACAGUGACUGACGCUGAGGCGCGAAAGCUAGGGGAGCAAACGGG